GUGUUUUUAAAACCCAGCCAUCAGUCCGUACAAGUACUGUGGUCUACCAUAAAAACCCAGGCUACUUAAUCUUAAAUUUAAUAUCAAUAUGAAUUAUUAAGCACUAUAAGGAUGAAAAGCCUUUUGAAACAUGUGUUAGUACAAUGCCACAUAAAAAUUUUCAGGGGUAGGAAAAUGAUUUGGAAAAGUUUCCUUGAACUAUCAUGGACAGGUUCACAAUCAAAAGGGAACAUUUCCUGUGAUCUGACAGCAGAUUGUAUUUUAGAAUGUGCGGUUUUUUUACAUCCCUAUUUAAUGUAAGAGAUAUUGAAAUGCUUUUAACAAGAGUUUUGCUACACACAGUGCCAAUACAGUGAAAGGCAAAGUGCCUGAACUGCUCUCAACCAGGAGCAUCUUCUCUGCAGAUAAACAAAUAGUCAUAGGAGGUGGAGUUGUGUUCAUCUCGGAGAAGAGGAAAUGGGGACAGCCACUGAUGCAGUUCAUUUUGAUACAGCAGAAGAGAAGCGUUUGGAAACCUAAUUUUGAAAAGUGAUGUUUUAUUGCUCAUUAUUAAAGAAAACAAAAAAUCAGGAAAAAUAA